rnacentral:rRNA from 1 species
AACGAACGCUGGCGGCAUGCCUAACACAUGCAAGUCGAACGAGACCUUCGGGUCUAGGGGCGCACGGGUGCGUAACGCGUGGGAACCUUCCCUUAUGGUCGGAAUAACUCCCCGAAAGGGGUGCUAAUACCGGAUAAUGUCUUCGGACCAAAGAUUUAUCGCCUUUGGAUGGGCCCGCGUUGGAUUAGCUAGUUGGUAGGGUAAAAGCCUACCAAGGCGACGAUCCAUAGCUGGUCUGAGAGGAUGAUCAGCCACACUGGGACUGAGACACGGCCCAGAAUCCUACGGGAGGCAGCAGUGGGGAAUAUUGGACAAUGGGCGAAAGCAUGAUCCAGCAAUGCCGGGAGAGUGAUGAAGGCCUUAGGGUUGUAAAGCUCUUUUAACCGGGAUGAUAAUGACAGUACCGGGAGAAUAAGCUACGGCUAACUCCGUG